ACACAUGCAAGUCGAGCGGCAGCGGGAAAGUAGCUUGCUACUUUUGCCGGCGAGCGGCGGACGGGGGAGUAAUGCCUGGGGAUCUGCCCAGUCUAGGGGGAUAACUACUGGAAACGGUAGCUAAUACCGCAUACGCCCUACGGGGGAAAGCAGGGGACCUUCCGGCCUUGCGCGAUUGGAUGAACCCNGGUGGGAUUAGCUAGUUGGUGAGGUAACGGCUCACCAAGGCGACGAUCCCUAGAUGGUCUGAGAGGAUGAUCAGCCACUCUGGAACUGANACACNNNCCANACUCCUACGGGAGGCAGCANUGGGGAAUAUUGCACAAUGGGGGAAACCCUGAUGCAGCCNUGCCGCGUGUGUGAAGAAGGCCUUCNGGUUGNNNAGCACUUUCNNNNAGGAGGAAAGGUCANNANCUAAUAUCUGCUGGCUGUGACGUUACUCNNANAA
rnacentral:rRNA from 1 species